GUUGGUGGCGCCCCCGUUGGUGCCGCGCUGGGAGAAUGCUCGGGCUCGCUUUUUCGGGAUCCACCUCUUCACUCUCCCCGUUUACCUUUAGCCACGGGACGAACAUCCGGCCCUCUUUCCUCCAGGGGGUGACGACAGUGGGAGCAGGUGGGGAAGAGUGGGACCGGGAUGGAUGAGAGGCCAGUCACCAGGUGCAGCCUACACUCUGGGGAGGGGGUUAUGAAGGUCAUGGAUACCAGGAGGAUCACUGGGAUUAUUGGGGGCCAUAUCAGAAGCUGCCUACCACACAUUAACUGGUUGGCAAACUGGUGGCUGUCCAUUUUGAAGGCAUCUCUUCACUUAAGGAGUCAUCUUAACUCCAUGUAUUGAGAACGGUGGAAGGAAGACUGAGAAAUGUAUCCUUUGACAGAAGGGGAAUGGCUGGGGUGGGAGAUUGUUGGGGCUUAGAACACUGUAAACACGGUUGUGGCUGAAUGACCUGCUCUCUCUACUGUCUGUCAUGCUACAAGAGCUACACGUGCUGCUCAUGACUAUAGGCUGGUAAAUAAAAUGAAAAUCUGAUAGCUUUUGUUUUAUGAUUUUGUUCACGGAAAGGUUCAAAUAGAAAUUCAUCUUGAAACUACUUAUGUUGGUUUCAUUUUCAUUUGAGUUUGGGAAUUUAAGUAAACAUUUCCUUCCCCUCUUGCUUUCCCUAAUGAUAGGUGUUAUAAUAGGUAUUAUAUUAGAGAACUCUAUUCAUCUUGGUAUUUUUAAAAAAAACAACAAACUGUUACGAAGGUAACUCAUGGUUUGUCCCUAACUCGAAAGAUAAAAAGCAAGCAUAUUGUGAAAUCUCAGUGUCCUUUCCCUCCUGUCUCCACCCAUCCAGGUUCUCUCUGUUAAUAUGUUUCUUUGUAUCCUUCUAAAGAUUGUGUAUGCUCUCCACUCAUAAACUUAUGCAGCCCCCACUCCCGGCAUGCCUGCACCCAAAUCGUGGCAUAUAGUACAUACUAUAAGGUAUUUUUCUUUUCCCCCUUUUCAGCUUAUCCUUACAGAUCAGUAAUUAUACAACUACCUUAUUGUUUUUUAACAGAUACUGUAUAGUACUCCAUUGUAUGGAUGUACCACAAUUUAUCCAGACUAAUAUUAAUUGUCAUUUAGGGUAUUUCUGAUUUUUUUGUUAUUACAAAUAAUGCUGCAUAAAUAUCCUAUGUAUAUCAUUUCACAAUUGUAAUGGUUUAUCUGUAGGAAAAAUUGAUAAUGAAUUUGCUGGGUCAAAGCAUAUGUGGCAUGAUGAUUUUUUCCAACAUUUUUUAGGAACAUUUUUAAACAUAACAGUAAAGUUGAAAGAGUUUGAUGCUGGAUAUCUAUAUUGCCAUCACCUGGAUUCUACCACUGACAGUUUAACUAUACUUGCCUUUUCACUUAUCUGUCCAUAUACCUGUCCCUUCACCCAUGGAGCCAUGUUAAGUAUGUACGUGUAGCUCUAACCCAAACCCUCAUCAAGAUAUAGAGCAUUCCUAUCACCCUAGAAUAUUCCCUUUUGCCCCCUCCCAGACAGUCCCUACCCUGAAUUAGACUCCUUAGUGGUUAAACCAAUUUAUCCCCCAACUAGAAGUGCUUGAGAGUAUCCUGCACCCUUUCUGACACUGUGCAGUUAGUUUUUGAUGUGCAAAAUGGUAUUUGGUAGUUUUAAGCUGCAUUUCUCUUGUGAGUUAAGCAUACAGUUUCUAAGUCACUUGUAUUUCCUUUAAUGUGAAUUCUUCAUAUUGUUUGC